rnacentral:lncRNA from 1 species
UUCGAUACACCAUGAAGAAGAAACGUCCCACUUGUGUAUCCGGUUACACCCAUUCAAGUAUCCGGUUAUAGCCUUCAAGAAAAAGAAAAAGAACGUGUUAUCCGGAUACAACAUUCACGUAUCCGGUUACAUCCAUGAAGAAGAAGAAGCAGAGUGAAGUUGUAUCCGAUUCCAGGCGCGGUUGAAGUGGGUCGUUUUCCGUUACCCAGCCCCUCCAUUAUGUGUACGUUCGACGUUGACGAUGGGGGAUGCAGCUUCCUUCACGAUGAAUACGAAUGAAUUGAACGACAAGAACAAGGGUGGGGCAGAGCUAGCGGCACCGAAAAUUGAAGACGCAACGAAGGUAGGGUUUGUGGCAGCGGUGAAGGGAGAGGAGGAUCCGAACGAGAACGCGAAGUGGAGGAUGAGACAAAUGAAAAUGGAGAAGAGGAAAAAGAAGAAGAAGGGUUUGUGAAGGAAAAGGAAGACAGAGAUUGAGUUGAAGAAGGGGUAGAAGAUCCGAAGGAGAAACUCGCCAUUGUUACCCUUUUUCUCUCAGCUCUAUCCUAUUUGAGAGUGAGGAGCAUCUUCGUUUUCAAGAAGAGGGUUUUCAAUUUAUAUAGUAAGGUUUCUGGGUUCUGCUUUACUCUACUCACUCUAAAAUUUCAAUUAAGAAACAAUGUUUUUAACAAAUACUUUUUUUACAGCCAUAUGUCAAAAUAAAUAUAAGUGUAUGUCACUUUAAUCAAUAAUUAUUUUUCUAAAAAAAAAAAAGAUAUUUUGACUAUUUUUUUUCUUACUCCAUAUUUUGACUAUUUUUUUAUUAAUUAUUCUAAAUUUUUAAUUCUUAAUAAAUAUUUUAAAAUUAAAUAUAACAUUAAACAAAAUUAAAUAUAACAUUAAACAAAUUAAAUAUAUCAUUAUAUUACUUUAAUACUUAGGGGCAUAUUGGUAAUCUUCAAUUUUUACCAAUUAAACUAAUUUUUUAAAUCUGUCAUAUCAAUCAAAUCCUACACUAAUUCUCACAAACUUUACCCUUAAUGCUCUGUUCGUAUGAGGGGAAAAUACUAUUGAAGGGAGAGUGUGAGGAAUGAUUUGCAGGAUGGAGGGUGUUCGUUU